UUAAUUUUAUAAUUUGAGAAACGGCUGGAUUCAUUAAUGCAUGCCAAUACUCCUGGAACAGAGAUCUCUGGAUAGGCAAGAGUUAAGACGAUCAUCUGCAUUCAUGGUUAUUUUUGUUUCUUGCUAUCCAUGAAGAAUACCUGAAAUAUUACUUGACGGCCUACUGUAUGCUGCAAGAGGCUCAAUGGAAACAACAUAUAGCAGGGGUGCCAGCGUAAACCAGUAAGUAUCUGGUGUGACCACUGUUUGCCUCACGCAGUGCAACACAUCUCCU